UACGUAGGGGGGCUAGCGUUGUCCGGAAUCAUUGGGCGUAAAGCGCGUGUAGGCGGUCCGGUAAGUCCGCUGUGAAAGUCGGGGGCUCAACCCUCGGAUGCCGGUGGAUACUGUCGGGCUUGAGUACGGAAGAGGCGAGUGGAAUUCCUGGUGUAGCGGUGAAAUGCGCAGAUAUCAGGAGGAACACCAAUGGCGAAGGCAGCUCGCUGGGACGUGACUGACGCUGAGACGCGAAAGCGUGGGGAGCAAACAGG
rnacentral:rRNA from 1 species